UUUUAGCCGGUAGGAAGGUCAGGUCGGGUCAACGCGCAGCGACCCAAAUUCCGGGACACCGGGUUCAGCGUUGUUUACACGACGACGAGACUCGCACAGCGUCUACGCGCUAUCGUCCGGCCGAUUAUUGUCGUCAACGCCGGGGAUCGUCGCUAGUGGUGUCCAGGUAUCCCGGCUAACGAAAAUUGCCAGCUACACUCGCCAGUCGUAAUUCGAUCGGUGGUCCCGGUCGGGAAUUUUACCACAUUUCGUUCGCGCGAUCGCGAAAAGUGCCUCGCCCGCGAGUUGCCCACCUCCCGGCUGAACGCGUCCGCAAAAAAAUCGGCGCGCUUUCCACAUUAAUUGCGCAGUUUUCGCGUGUCGCGUUUUCGGUAAAUUUUUCGCGUCAGAAAAAUUUGGCGUCGGAAAAGUGUUUCGUCGCGUUACGCACUUCGUACGCGGUUACGUGUGCGCCGCUUCGCCGAUCCGGUGUAAUACACAUAAAUACAAUAACGCUCUCGCGAGUGAACUCUACCCGGAGAUUAGCACCGAGGCGAACAUGAGAGGACGGACGGACACCAACGGACAAACGGACUUACGUGUAUGAUACACACCGUGCAUCGCACACCUCUUUGAAACGAGAGACUCUAAUGGGCUGCGAAGAUUGUUACUCCCCCGAUCCGAGAACUGUACGGAUUUUAUACCAGAUCUUAACACUCUGAGGGGAAAAUUGUGUCGAAUACCCAGAGAAAGAAAAAAUUCAGCGACGCGAUCGUUUCCUUGAAGUUCUCACGCAACGUACGCGCAGCGGCAUCGAGAACGUUGAUUCAAUUAUUGCUGCUCCGAACUCCGAUCAAAAUUUUUGACGGAGGUCAAGGGAUAACUUAUAAGAUUCGACAGAAGGUGGAGCCAACAGACGAACACUAAUAACCAGUCGCUAUCAUUGAUUCGCGAAAGUACCAGAGAUGCUUCGCGAAUCCGUUGACGAAACGGAGAAUCUACCAUAGGAGUUGCGAAACAAACUUAUCAACGGCGCAAGGCGUCAUCGUUCGAAGUAGCGCUGCUGUGCUUUGCUACUUGGUGACAAGCUGAGUGACAACCUCAUGGCUCAACAUGCAGUUUAUUCCCAGAUUAUUGACUUUCUUCUCUUCUGCUGCGAAGCAAAAAUCUGCGGCUCCGGA